AUUGAACGCUGGCGGCAGGCUUAACACAUGCAAGUCGAGCGGAGCGAGGGUGCUUGCACCUUAGCUUAGCGGCGGACGGGUGAGUAAUGCUUAGGAAUCUGCCUAUUAGUGGGGGACAACAUUCCGAAAGGAAUGCUAAUACCGCAUACGCCCUACGGGGGAAAGCAGGGGAUCUUCGGACCUUGCGCUAAUAGAUGAGCCUAAGUCGGAUUAGCUAGUUGGUGGGGUAAAGGCCUACCAAGGCGACGAUCUGUAGCGGGUCUGAGAGGAUGAUCCGCCACACUGGGACUGAGAAACGGCCCAGACUCCUACGGGAGGCAGCAGUGGGGAAUAUUGGACAAUGGGCGGAAGCCUGAUCCAGCCAUGCCGCGUGUGUGAAGAAGGCCUUCGGGUUGUAAAGCACUUUAGCCUGGAAAGAGAAAACUUUGGUUAACACCCAAAGUCUUGACGGUACCAGGAGAAUAAGCACCGGCUAACUCUGUGCCAGCCGCCGCAGUAAGAC
rnacentral:rRNA from 1 species